CGUUCCCAGGCCUCGUACACACCGCCCGUCACAUCAUGAAAGCCGGUUGUACCCGAAGUCACCCCUCAAAAGGUGCCGAAGGUAUGGCUGGUGAUUGGGAUG
rnacentral:rRNA from 1 species